GUGGCUUCGGCCCACAAUGAUAAACCGCCACACGGUGAGUAACGCGUGAGUAUCUGCCCUCCGGUGGGGUAUACCUCGGAAACUAAGGAUAAUCCCGCAUACGCCUGCAUCCCUUGGGGUGCAGAUGAAAGCUUCGUUCCCCGGAGAAGGAGCUCGCGUCCUAUCAGGUUGUUGGUGGGGUAAAAGCCUCCCAAGCCGAUGCGGGUAGCUGGUCUUAGAGGACGAUCAGCCAGAGGGGGACUGAGCCCGGCCCCCACUCCUACGGGAGGCAGCAGCAGGGAAUUUUGGGCAAUGGGCGAAAGCCUGACCCAGCGACGUCGCGUGGGGGAUGAAGGCCUUAGGGCUGUAAACCCCUUUUCCCGGGGAAGAGAAAGGACGGUACCCGGGGAAUAAGCUCCGGCUAACUACGUGCCAGCAGCCGCGGUAACACGUAGGGGGCAAGCGUUGUCCGGAUUUAUUGGGCGUAAAGAGCUCGUAGGCGGUUGCGUAAGUCGGAUGUGAAAACUCAGGGCUCAACCCGGAGACGCCAUCCGAUACUGCGCUGACUAGAGUCCGGUAGGGGAGCAUGGAAUUCCUGGUGUAGCGGUGAAAUGCGCAGAUAUCAGGAGGAACACCAGUGGCGAAGGCGGUGCUCUGGGCCGGUACUGACGCUCAGGAGCGAAAGCGUGGGUAGCGAACAGGAUUAGAUACCCUGGUAGUC
rnacentral:rRNA from 1 species